rnacentral:rRNA from 1 species
AUUAAACGCUGGCGGCAUGCCUUACACAUGCAAGUCGAACGGCAGCACGGGGGCAACCCUGGUGGCGAGUGGCGGACGGGUGAGUAAAGCAUCGGAACGUAUCCUGGAGUGGGGGAUAACGUAGCGAAAGUUACGCUAAUACCGCAUAUUCUGUGAGCAGGAAAGCAGGGGAUCGCAAGACCUUGCGCUCUGGGAGCGGCCGAUGUCGGAUUAGCUAGUUGGUGGGGUAAAGCCUACCAAGGCGACGAUCCGUAGCGGGUCUGAGAGGAUGAUCCGCCACACUGGGACUGAGACACGGCCCAGACUCCUACGGGAGGCAGCAGUGGGGAAUUUUGGACAAUGGGCGGAAGCCUGAUCCAGCCAUGCCGCGUGAGUGAAGAAGGCCUU